rnacentral:rRNA from 1 species
CGGUGAUAAGCCGGAGGAAGGUGUGGAUGACGUCAAGUCCUCAUGGCCCUUACGGGUUGGGCUACACACGUGCUACAAUGGUGGUGACAAUGGGUUAAUCCCAAAAAGCUAUCUCAGUUCGGAUUGGGGUCUGCAACUCGACCCCAUGAAGUCGGAAUCGCUAGUAAUCGCGUAACAGCAUGACGCGGUGAAUACGUUCCCGGGCCUUGUGCACACCGCCCGU